rnacentral:rRNA from 1 species
AUACAGAGGGUGCAAGCGUUAAUCGGAAUUACUGGGCGUAAAGCGCGCGUAGGCGGUUUGUUAAGUUGGAUGUGAAAGCCCCGGGCUUAACCUGGGAGGGUCAUUCAAAACUGUCAGACUAGAGUGUGGUAGAGGGUAGUGGAAUUCCUAGUGUAGCGGUGAAAUGCGUAGAGAUUAGGAGGAACACCAGUGGCGAAGGCGACUGCCUGGACCAACACUGACGCUGAGGUGCGAAAGCGUGGGUAGCGAACAGGAUUAGAAACCCGAGUAGUCC